rnacentral:rRNA from 1 species
UGGGGAAUAUUGGACAAUGGGCGGAAGCCUGAUCCAGCAACGCCGCGUGAGGGAUGACGGCCUUCGGGUUGUAAACCUCUUUCAGUACCGACGAAGCGAAAGUGACGGUAGGUACAGAAGAAGGACCGGCCAACUACGUGCCAGCAGCCGCGGUAAUACGUAGGGUCCGAGCGUUGUCCGGAAUUAUUGGGCGUAAAGGGCUCGUAGGCGGUUUGUCGCGUCGGGAGUGAAAACAGCGGGCUUAACUCGUUGCUUGCUUUCGAUACGGGCAGACUAGAGGUAUGCAGGGGAGAAUGGAAUUCCUGGUGUAGCGGUGAAAUGCGCAGAUAUCAGGAGGAACACCGGUGGCGAAGGCGGUUCUCUGGGCAUUACCUGACGCUGAGGAGCGAAAGUGUGGGGAGCGAACAGGAUUAGAUACCCUGGUAGUCCACACCGUAAACGUUGGGCGCUAGGUGUGGGGUCCUUUCCACGGAUUCCGUGCCGUAGCUAACGCAUUAAGCGCCCCGCCU